CCGCUUCGAUCGAGCUACAGGUUUGUGGAAGGUAUUUUACGAGUUGGGCUUUAACGAUGGCUCAAGUUAAGGCCUGGGUUUUAUCUUGGUUCGAGACCCCUAGCAGAGUUUCAUGCCAUUCAAUCGAAGAGCGGUAACAUGGCGGCCGAUCUACGAUUAGAGCGUUCACGUUUUCGAGGAAGUUAAGAUCGAUUUCUAGCCUAAAUAUUUCAGAAGACGCUGUUUUUUCGCAGAUGUCAGAUUUACAGUUGAGCAAAUUCUGUUGACAUCCAACAACACUGGAAUCUGGUGAAGUGUUGUGGGGUCUUAUGAAGAAUCAGAAUAAGCUGGAAGGUGAUUCCUUCUUUGUUAACCCAGCCUCAGGAACCAGGGAUAUUACUUCACCAAAGGACUUUCCCAAUCACUCCUUGCUUACUUUGCCAAAUUCUUUUUAGAUCACUGUCCCAAAGUUUUUCACCUCCUUCUGUGUUUGUUUGGAAAUCUUUUUUGCUAGCCAGUUCUUUUGUUUGAUUUUUAACAUCUGUAAAUGGCUCCCUUUUGUUCACUGCACAGCAUGUAUUUUUCUUGUAAAAGAUACUCUCUACUGGAGUUGUUUCAAUAAAGCAUUAAUACUGUGCAGGGUGUUAAUGCAAAAUGCCAUUAAGUCUACAAAAGUCUCUUUGCAGGGUUGAUUUACCCAAGGCAGUUUGCUGCCAGCUUUCAAUGGUAAAUGUUUUUAGCUACUUCCUCUUUUUUUCAGUGGUGACCACUGUGAUCUUGUGAAAUUAGGUGAUCUAUGGCCUCAUAAUUCUUUAGAAAAAAAACUUAUCAGUGAUAGGGAAUUUUGUUUGUAGUUGAUGUUGCUUUUUUUUCUAUCAGUAA